rnacentral:rRNA from 1 species
CGGCUGCUCAGUAACACGUAGUCAACCUAACCUAUGGACGGGAAUAACCUCGGGAAACUGAGAAUAAUGCCCGAUAGAACACUAUACCUGGAAUGGUUUGUGUUCCAAAUGAUUUAUCGCCGUAGGAUGGGACUGCGGCCUAUCAGUUUGUUGGUGAGGUAAUGGCCCACCAAGACUAUUACAGGUACGGGCUCUGAGAGGAGUAGCCCGGAGAUGGGUACUGAGACACGGACCCAGGCCCUAUGGGGCGCAGCAGGCGAGAAAACUUUGCAAUGUGCGAAAGCACGACAAGGUUAAUCCGAGUGGUUUCUGCUAAAGGAACCUUUUGUUAGUCCUAGAAACACUAACGAAUAAGGGGUGGGCAAGUUCUGGUGUCGGCCGCCGCGGUAAAACCAGCACCUCAAGUGGUCAGGAUGAUUAUUGGGCCUAAAGCAUCCGUAGCCGGCUCUGUAAGUUUUCGGUUAAAUCUGUACGCUCAACGUACAGGCUGCCGGGAAUACUGCAGAGCUAGGGAGUGGGAGAGGUAGACGGUACUCGGGAGGAAGUGGUAAAAUGCUUUGAUCUCUCGAUGACCACCUGUGGCGAAGGCGGUCUACCAGAACACGUCCGACGGUGAGGGAUGAAAGCGGGGGGAGCAAACCGGAUUAGAUACCCGGGUAGUCCCAGCUGUAAACUAUGCAAACUCAGUGAUGCAUUGGCAUGUGGCCAAUGCAGUAUUGCAGGGGAAGCCGUUAAGUUUGCCGCCUGGGAAGUACGUACGCAAGUAUGAAACUUAAAGGAAUUGGCGGGGGAGCAG